GUGAUAGAGGAAGCCGAUCUGAUCCGUCUACGUGCCAUAUCGACGAUUCAGGCUCUGCUGAACAUAUAAACUCUUCAUCAGUGGCAUGCCUUGUUCUUUUCUUUUAAAAACUCCUUAUUAUUUUGGUCUAGCCGAUAGGACUGUUAUCGGCCCCUGUUUAAAACAUUGAGUCCGGCCCCAGAUACACUUUGAUCGAGCCGAUAGGAAUGUUAUCAGCACUUAAACCUUCAUGCAUCAAUCCAUAUGCUAGGGUCAUAUUUCUUUAAAUAUUUGCCAUUCAAUGCUCUGGGAA
rnacentral:lncRNA from 1 species